rnacentral:rRNA from 1 species
CCUACGGGAGGCAGCAGUGAGGAAUAUUGGUCAAUGGACGAGAGUCUGAACCAGCCACGCAGCGUGAAUGAUGACUGCCCUAUGGUUGUUAAGCUUCUUUUAUAUGGGAAUAAAAUGGUCCACGUGUGGGAUUUUGUAUGUACCAUAUGAAUAAGGAUCGGCUAACUCCGUGCCAGCAGCCGCGGUAAUACGGAGGAUCCGAGCGUUAUCCCGAUUUAUUGGGUUUAAAGGGAGCGUAGGUGGAUUGUUUAGUCCGUUGUGAAAGUUUGCGGCUCAACCGUAAAAUUGCAGUUGAAACUGGCAGUCUUGAGUACAGUAGAGGUGGGCGGAAUUCGAGGUGUAGCGGUGAAAUGCUUAGAUAUAACGAAGAACUCCGAUUGCGAAGGCAGUUCACUGGCUUGCAACUGACACUGAGGCUCGAAAGUGUGGGUAUCAAACAGGAUUAGAUACCCCGGUAGUC